rnacentral:lncRNA from 1 species
UCAAACAUAUGUUAUCCUUCGCACACAAUUGAAGUGUCGAGGAAGUGGUGAGAUACCCAAGGGAAAUUAUUGGUUGUUCCUCAAUAACUAAUAACAUGGCAAUCACAACCUUUCAAAAAAAUUGAAAAAAGAAAAGUUCGUUAAGUUGAAUACCUACAAAGAUGACUUAGGAAAAAAUCAGGGCACCUCGGUGGGCUGAAAGCUUCAAAGAAG